CGCAAUGGGCGAAAGCCUGACGGAGCGACGCCGCGUGAUUGAUGAAGUCCUUCGGGACGUAAAGAUUUUUUUUGCGUGAGAAAGUAAUUGAUAGUAGCGCACGAAUAAGGGGCUCCUAACUCUGUGCCAGCAGGAGCGGUAAUACAGAGGCCCCGAGCAUUAUCCGGAAUCACUGGGGGUAAAGGGUGUGUAGGCGGCUUUGUUAGUCUUUUGUGAAAGAUCCCCGGCUUAACCGGGGAGACGCAGGGGAAACGGCAUCGCUUAGAGGGUAUGAGAGGUUAAGGGAACUCAUAGUGUAGGGGUGAAAUCCGUUGAUAUUAUGGGGAACACCAAAUGCGAAGGCAGUUAACUGGCAUACUCCUGACGCUGAAACACGAAAGCGU
rnacentral:rRNA from 1 species